UACGGGGGGGGCAAGCGUUGUUCGGAAUUACUGGGCGUAAAGGGCGCGUAGGCGGCCUGCUAAGUCACACGUGAAAUCCCCCGGCUCAACCGGGGAAAUGCGCGUGAUACUGGCGGGCUUGAGAUCGGGAGGGGUGAAUGGAACUCCAGGUGGAGCGGUGAAAUGCGUAGAUAUCUGGAGGAACACCGGUGGCGAAAGCGGUUCACUGGCCCGACACUGACACUGAGGUGCGAAAGCUAGGGUAGCAAACGGG
rnacentral:rRNA from 1 species